GGAAUAUUGGACAAUGGGCGCAAGCCUGAUCCAGCCAUGCCGCGUGUGUGAAGAAGGCCUUCGGGUUGUAAAGCACUUUCAGCGAGGAGGAAGGGGUGUGUGUUAAUAGCACAUAUCUUUGACGUUACUCGCAGAAGAAGCACCGGCUAACUCCGUGCCAGCAGCCGCGGUAAUACGGAGGGUGCAAGCGUUACUCGGAAUUACGGGGCGUAAAGCGAACGCAGGCGGCUUUUUAAGUCGGAUGUGAAAGCCCCGGGCUCAACCUGGGAAUUGCAUUCGAUACUGGGGAGCUAGAGUAUGUGAGAGGGGGGUAGAAUUCCAAGUGUAGCGGUGAAAUGCGUAGAGAUUUGGAGGAAUACCAGUGGCGAAGGCGGCCCCCUGGCACAAUACUGACGCUCAGGUGCGAAAGCGUGGGGAGCAAAC
rnacentral:rRNA from 1 species